AUACGUAGGGGGCGAGCGUUGUCCGGAAUGAUUGGGCGUAAAGGGCGCGUAGGCGGCCCGGUAAGUCUGGAGUGAAAGUCCUGUUUUUAAGAUGGGAAUUGCUUUGGAUACUGUCGGGCUUGAGUGCAGGAGAGGUAAGUGGAAUUCCCAGUGUAGCGGUGAAAUGCGUAGAGAUUGGGAGGAACACCAGUGGCGAAGGCGACUUACUGGACUGUAACUGACGCUGAGGCGCGAAAGUGUGGGGAGCAAACUGGAUUAGAUACCCUGGUAGUCCACACUGUAAACGAUGAAUGCUAGGUGUAGGGGGUAUCGACCCCUUCCGUGCCGCAGUCAACACAAUAAGCAUUCCGCCCGGGGAGUACGGCCGCAAGGUUGAAACUCAAAGGAAUUGACGGGG
rnacentral:rRNA from 1 species